GGAAGUUUCAGCAUAAGGACCACUGUCCCAGGAAACUUCCUCAUGCUCCAAAUAAAUGUUUUUUUCUUAGAAUAUUAUAUGCCUUUCCUAAAUACAAUGGUUGUUCUGAUUAUUGCACUUAAAAUUGGGAUGUUGGAGUAUAUUUUCAGCAUUCUGUUAAACAGUAAAGUACUGUGUAGAUAAAAUGGUAUUAAAAAAUAUUGUUACCAAGUGUCAUCAUGUAAUAUGACUGAAAAUCCUAACUGUGUGGAACUACUUGUUUUCUAUGAAAAUGGUCUAAAGAUUAAGUAGUGAGAAAUGAUAUAAAUAUAGAAAACCCUUCAUCUGGUCCUUUAAUUUUAUUUAAGAUCAGAAGGGAUGUCCUAACUUAUUGGUGAAAAUUCAACUCAAAAAUGGAUCUUUCCCCCAAAAUCUUUGCAGAUUCAUAGGGUGUCUUGGGCUUCUGGGCCCAUGUGGGCUUAGGAGGUGACUUUGUACUCAGAGCCCAGACCUCACAGCUGCUGUACCACCUGGGUGCCUCUUUUUUUACACAUUAUGAUGUUUCCCAGAAAUGUUACUAAAAAAGUCUUUGGCACACACUUCUAAAACAAAAUUCUCAAAUAGCUUUUUGUUUACUAUUUCUAAUAUUUCUAUUCCUAUGAUGAAGGGUUUUCUUCAUUUUUUACUUCUAGUUCCAAGAGAGUCUAGUAUCUG
rnacentral:lncRNA from 1 species